rnacentral:rRNA from 1 species
UACGAGGGGGGCUAGCGUUGUUCGGAAUUACUGGGCGUAAAGCGCACGUAGGCGGCUUUGUAAGUUAGAGGUGAAAGCCCAGGGCUUAACCCUGGAAUUGCCUUUAAGACUGCAUCGCUAGAAUCGUGGAGAGGUGAGUGGAAUUCCGAGUGUAGAGGUGAAAUUCGUAGAUAUUCGGAAGAACACCAGUGGCGAAGGCGACUCACUGGACACGUAUUGACGCUGAGGUGCGAAAGCGUGGGGAGCAAACAGG